UACGUAGGUGGCAAGCGUUGUCCGGAUUUAUUGGGUUUAAAGGGUGCGUAGGCGGCCCUGUAAGUCAGUGCUGAAAUAUCCCAGCUUAACUGGGAGGGUGGCAUUGAUACUGCGGGGCUAGAGUACAGAUGAGGUAGGCGGAAUUGACGGUGUAGCGGUGAAAUGCUUAGAUAUCGUCAAGAACACCUAUAGCGAAGGCAGCUUACUAGGCUGUAACUGACGCUGAGGCACGAAAGUGUGGGAUCAAACAGG
rnacentral:rRNA from 1 species